rnacentral:snoRNA from 1 species
AUUUGGAACGAAGACUUUUGAUGAAUUAGGCUAGCCUGUGGUUACUUAGCAAGCAAAUUUCUUCACAGUGUCCCAAGCUAGAGCAAAUGGUGGCUCUUAACCGUCGCCCAGCCUCUGUGCCUGUAGGCUGCUGGCACUGAAUUGGGUCGCACAAUG